CGCCUGUUUAUUAAAAACAUUGUUUUUUAAUUUGUUAAAAAAUAUAAUCUGCCCAUUGAAAAUUAUAUUUUAAAAGGCUGCAGUAUAUUGACUGUACAAAGGUAGCAUAAUCAUUAGGUUUUUAAUUGAGAUCUUGUAUGAAUGAUUAAAUGAAAUAAAAUCUUUUUUAGUUUUAAAAUUUGAAUUUUAUAUAUUAGUAAAAAAUCUAAUAUAAUUAAAAAAGACGAGAAGACCCUAUAGAAUUUAAUAAUUUUAUAAUAAAUAUAAAUAAUAUUAUUUAUAUUUUAUUUAUUAUUAUUAUUUUGUUGGGGAGAUAGUAAAAUUUAUUUAACUUUUAUUUAUUAAUUUCAAAUAUAAUUGUUUUAUUGAUCUUUUAUUAUAGAUUAUUAAAUUAAAUUACCUUAGGGAUAACAGCAUAAUAUUAUUAAUUAGUUCUUAUUUUUAAUAUAUUUUAUGACCUCGAUGUUGAAUUAAAAUUAUUAUUAUAUGAAGGGAUAUAAAAAAUAA
rnacentral:rRNA from 1 species